rnacentral:lncRNA from 1 species
GGUCUGUGGGAGGAGCCAGGAUCAUGCUCCAAUAGAUAAAGAUUGGUUGGUUGGCAUUUGAAUUCAAAUUUGAUUUGAAUUCAAGUGAGCAACCACCUAGCUUUAUCCUCUCACACGGUGAAAAUACUGAAAAGAUGCGGUCUUGCAUUGUUUUAAAAUGAGAGAGAAGGUGGGGUGUGCGAUAUCUGAUCUGUGAGAGAAAGGGUAGCAUGAGAAAGGCCUUCUGUGUGAGAAAAGAAAUGAAAAGAAGAGAAAAGAAAAGAAGAGAGAAAGGGUGCAGGGUCUUCUGUGAGUACCCUAGGGUUUCUGCCUAGGGUUCGGGAAGUGAGAAGGUUAGCUACCAGUGUCGUGAGCCCA